GCUUGUUUAUCCGUCUUAUUGACUACAAUGCAAUGCUUUUGUUUUACCAGGGAAGCCCGGGCACUGCAUACGCAAGCCCAUCCCAUGAACUUUAAGGAUUUGGGCACAGAUGGUGGAUGGGAAUCCAGCCCAGGCCUUCACAAGCUGCUGUCCCUGCAGGAGCCAGUGCUGUGCCGCUGCAGAGGGUGAGGAAAUUGAAGCACAGAAGCAUUUAGGGGCUACCAAGGUACCACAGAGUCUCUGAAGCAUUCAGCUUGUCUUCAGAAGUGCUGCACUGCAGCAGUGCUGAAGGAAGCAAACAAAUGCCCUGGCAUUCCCCUUCACAGGCUGAGAGCUGAAGUAGCAGUGAUGGGGUUAGGUCAUCCUCGGGGCUCUGAGUGCCCGUGGUGGUUCUGCUACAAGGUAGGAGCAUGGGAAGCCCUUGGAGAUCCUCAGAAACCAUGAGCUGGAGUUUGCUAACACUGAGCACAGAGAAGAACUGAUUCUUGCAGGAACCUCCAGAUGCUGUUCUAGUGUUCAGGGAUGAACUAGAUUAAUCAUCUCACUCCAUGAAAACUGCCAGCACAGCCUGGGCUCAGACUGGACCUCUCAACCUAAACACCAGCAGGUCAGUAGCCAGCUCCGAAAACAUUAGUGCUCUGAUUUCCAGAACUUCAGCUUCAAAAUGGACCUGAUGCUUCCCACUGUUGUUAACCAUUGAGAGAAGAACCUGUGACUACUCCUGCCUGCUUCCCUGCUACUUCUUGUCCUUCCUCAGACACCACAAGGCAUCUGCACCAGAGAUCCUCGCCGGAGUCUUGGCACAGCUGCACAAACUGUAGUGCACGAUCUGAUUCUCAAAUUGGGCUUAACUCCUAUGUUCAGUGCCAGCUGGAGGGGCCUGCUGAGUUCUGCUGAUGCACCAGAAAUGUAUUUCAGGAAGGUUUCUCUAUAAUUGUUACAUUAUAGCUAUUGCAGGAUUGCUCAGAGGCUGGUAAACAAUUGCUAUACUUGUUAGAGGUCAUGAAUACAGAAAAACAUUCCUCUGUGUGAGGUCUGCUGUUAAAUAAUAACUUGUCGUCUCAUGGUGUAGGGGGAGUGAAUGCCCUCAAAGGGACGUGCUGACAUUGUUGAAGCCAGUGAUCCAGUUCCUGUAAUUUACACCACUUUCUUGAAGCUGCUUCUCUGAACAGGAACAAUGGAUGCACCG
rnacentral:lncRNA from 14 species